rnacentral:lncRNA from 1 species
GCCUGGAUUUCCCUGUUCUGCUGGGCUCCCCUUCCAGGGGAGCUCUUUUCUUGUCACCACGGACAGGCACCCUGGGGGUUGGUUCUUGCUGGGACUGUGGGUUCAGAAAGCAGCAUCUGCUACCCCCACCUGUUAUUUUUAACACUUGGAAGAGAGUCCAGGCAGAGGAGAGGCCAGGGAGUGGUGGCAGGGACAGUCCCAGCAGUGCUGGCAGCACCAGCCCUGGCUCAGGGUGGGCACAGCCGCUGCUUGCAGCUCCUCUGGCUCCCUUUGGGGGCCAACUUGGCACUGGGGACCUGUGGGACCUGUGCCACCUGUGCCACCUGUGGGACUUGUGUCACCUGUGUCACCUGUAGGAUCUGUGGGACCUGUGCCACCUGUGGGACCUGUGCCACCUGUGUCACCUGUAGGAUCUGUGGGACCUGUGCCACCUGUGGGACCUGUGCCACCUGUGGGACUUGUGCCACUUGUGUCACCUGUGGGACCUGUGGGACCUGUGCCACCUGUGGGACCUGUGCCACCUGUGGGACUUGUGCCACUUGUGGGGGGGGGGGGGGGGGGGGGGGGGGGGGGGGGGGGGGGGGGGGGGGGGGGGGGGGGGGGGGGGGGGGGGGGGGGGGGGGGGGGGGGGGGGGGGGGGGGGGGGGGGGGGGGGGGGGGGGGGGGGGGCCACCUGUGGGACUUGUGUCACCUGUGUCACCUGUAGGAUCUGUGGGACCUGUGCCACCUGUGGGACCUGUGCCACUUGUGCCACCUGUGGGACUUGUGUCACCUGUGGGACCUGUGCCACCUGUGGGACCUGUGCCACCUGUGCCCUCAGGGUGCUCUGGCUCCUCUGCCCCUGCAGGUCCUGCAGAUUGCUGGCAGGGGAGACUCCCAGCUCUGGGAGCUGUUCUCAGGCUGCUCAUGGUGAUUCCCCUCCUGUUCCUCCUUCCCUCCUCAGCUGGGUCUGGAGCUGCCCCAAACCUGGGGCCACCUGUCCUGGCUCCCUGUCCCUGUCCCUGUCCCAGGGCUGCAGCUCUGGAGCAGGAUUUCCCCAGCAUUCUGGGAUUUCUCCUGUGCUGA